CUGCGGCUCCUCCCUCGGGCAGAGGGAGUCCAGAUGCGAGGGACGCCCUCCAGAGCCGAGCUGGGCCGGCCGGGCAGCUAGGGUGCUGGGAGGUUGCGGUGCAGGGUGGGUGGGUGCAGUGAGGCUGGAGCCACGCUGGGGGGGCUGGGCUGGCGGGGGGAGGCUGGAGCCGCGCCGGGGAGAGGGAGGCGGCGGUUGGGUGCUGGAGGGCGCUGGUGCCGUGCCAGUGGGCGGUGGCGCCUUACGCCACCCGCCCCACCCCCGUCACCGUGCCCGCCCCACUGCGUGGGAUUUUACAACCUAGGUCCCCGGGAGGUGGUGGUGGAGGGAGGGGCGGCGGGGACGUUUCCGGGGCGGGGGAGGGGCGCACUGCUCCAGAACUGGACCGAGGGCGGGGCUCCCCUCUGCUUCUCCCCUCUGUUCCAGCGCUGAGACGCAGGCCUUUCCUGGCGCGAAGCGACUCGCCCCGGAGCUCCCCUGCACCGUCCUGGGUGUCAGGACGCGUCAACCCAGAUGACCCGACCCGGAGAUCCUGGAUCCUCUGCCCUCUUCCCCCUACCAAGUCCUUAACCGGAGAGGGAGGAGCUACCAAUGUCCUCCAGACGUUCUCCAAAGCCCGAGCUGCCGGGAGAAGCUUGCUCAAGGCGGGUGCGCCCCUCAGACGUUUGUUUGCACGCAGGGGUUUUGACGUUUCGCUAAGCAACAGCGUUUGCCAGGGAAUCAGGGCUGUUUCGAAGAGCUUGCGUCUAUUUGAUGCUCCCAUCUUGAACAAAUCGUUUCCAUUCGAUUUGUUUAACCAAGGCGAGGGCGGACUAUGUUGUUACUUAAAAGUUAUUCUUCAUCCAAGCUGUCCUCAGAUUUUCAUCUAAGGGUGUCAUAACACCCCAGGUCGUUGCGCAAAUGUUUUGUGACAAUUUAGAAAACCAGAGGGGGGAAAUAUCCUUAGAGAAAAAAUCAUAACCAACAAGAAAAUUAUGUUAAAUGAUGUUGGUCCUUUUUCAUCGGAUGGUCCCAGUUGACACAUAGUCUUUUACAAAACCAGUGACUAUUCACAGUCUUCAAUUUAUGGCACAUCUCCCGGUGGGGGCGAAGUGCAUGAAUGGGUCCCACCUUAUUCACCAGCUGAAACUCUGAACAAGCCUUGGGGUUUCCUCUCCCAAAGACUGCCAGGCUUCACUAAGAAUCAAAACAAAACAGGAUACUAAAUGCCUGCGUGUUGUUAAUCAAACACAAGACCCAUAAAGUGAAUUUGGGGUCAUCUUGUCCUUUACUGGUUUCCUGAUUGGGAGGCUCACCCUUGGCUUAUGAUCACAUCCAUUUGGCAGAAAGUCAGCUUAUUUGACAGGGUUGGAAACAAUGCCAUGUGAGCAGAAGAGAAAUUGCUUUCAUCCCUUUUUCUACCUGAUGGUCUUAUAUUAUGAUAUGGUUUGGCUGUGCGCCCACCCAAAUCUCAUCUUGAAUUGUAGUUCCCAUAAUCCCCGUAUGUCAUGGGUGAGACCUCAUGGGAGGUAAAUAAAUUAUGGAAGUGGUUCCCCCAUGCUGUUCUCAUGAUAGUGAGUGAGUUCUCAUGAGAUCUGAAUGGUUUUAUAAGUGGUUUUUCCCCGCUUUGCUCUGCACUUCUCUCUCCUGCCACCAUGUGAAGAAGGAUGUGUUUGCUUCCCCUUCUGCCCUGAUUGUAAGUUUCUGGAGGCCUCCCAAGCCAUGCGGAACUGUGAGUCAAUGAAACCUCUUUCCUUUAUAAAUUACCCAGUCUCAGGCCAGGCACAGUGGCUCACGCCUGUAAUCCCAGCACUUGGGGAGGCUGAGGUGGGCGGAUUGCCUGAGGUCAGGAGUUCGAGACCAGUCUGGCUAACAUGGUGAAAUCCCGUCUCUACUAAAAAUACAGAAUUAGCCAGGCAUGAUGGCGUGUGCCUGUAAUGCCAGAUACUUGGGAGGCUGAGGCAGGGGAAUUGCUUGAACCAGGGAGGUGGAGGUUGCAGUGGGCCAAGGUCACGCCACUGUACUCCAGUCUGGGCGACAGAGCAAGACUCCAUCUCAAAAAUAAAUAAAUAA
rnacentral:lncRNA from 1 species